UACAGAGGGUGCGAGCGUUGUCCGGAAUCACUGGGCGUAAAGGGCGCGUAGGUGGCGGCCCAAGUCCAUGGUGAAAGCUCGAUGCUCAACAUCGAGUCGGCCACGGAUACUGGGUUGCUCGAGCACUGUAGGGGCAGAUGGAAUUCCGGGUGUAGCGGUGGAAUGCGUAGAGAUCCGGAAGAACACCGGUGGCGAAGGCGGUCUGCUGGGCAGUUGCUGACACUGAGGCGCGACAGCGUGGGGAUCAAACAGG
rnacentral:rRNA from 1 species